rnacentral:rRNA from 1 species
GACGAACGCUGGCGGCGUGCUUAACACAUGCAAGUCGAACGGUAAGGCCCUUCGGGGUACACGAGUGGCGAACGGGUGAGUAACACGUGGGUGAUCUGCCCUGCACUUCGGGAUAAGCCUGGGAAACUGGGUCUAAUACCGGAUAGGACCACUGCCUGCAUGGGUGGGGGUGGAAGGCUUUUGCGGUGUGGGAUGGGCCCGCGGCCUAUCAGCUUGUUGGUGGGGUGAUGGCCUACCAAGGCGACGACGGGUAGCCGGCCUGAGAGGGUGACCGGCCACACUGGGACUGAGAUACGGCCCAGACUCCUACGGGAGGCAGCAGUGGGGAAUAUUGCACAAUGGGCGCAAGCCUGAUGCAGCGACGCCGCGUGAGGGAUGACGGCCUUCGGGUUGUAAACCUCUUUCAGCACCGACGAAGCGCAAGUGACGGUAGGUGCAGAAGAAGGACCGGCCAACUACGUGCCAGCAGCCGCGGUAA